GUUCUUUGGUGAAGGGCCCCACAUGAUUUUUUUUAAAUUUUCUAAUAAGAAUUUUGAAAUGGCAAGGAACUUCAUUUGAAUUAAAGUCACAAAACAUGGAUUACUUGCAUAUUUAAUCAUGGCUGUUUGGUAUGGAAUGAGAUUGCAAUCAAGCAAUAUGUGGAUGAGAGAAACUAUGAAAGUUUACAACUGUAGCCACCUCUCCAGUGAUUUAGAUAUGACAAGGAACUUCAUCUGAAUUGGAGUCACAAAACAUGGAUUACUUGAAUAUUUAAUCAUAGCUGUUUGGUAUGGAAUGAGAUUGUGAUCAAGCAGUAGGUGGAUGAAAGAAACUAUAAUAUGAAAAAAGUGUUUAAAAAAUAUGUUUUAUUUUUAAAUAAACUUUUUUUACA
ensembl:ncRNA F59F4.6 ncRNA